AUUGAACGCUGGCGGCAGGCCUAACACAUGCAAGUCGAACGGUAACAGGAAGAAGCUUGCUUCUUUGCUGACGAGUGGCGGACGGGUGAGUAAUGUCUGGGAAACUGCCUGAUGGAGGGGGAUAACUACUGGAAACGGUAGCUAAUACCGCAUAACGUCGCAAGACCAAAGAGGGGGACCUUCGGGCCUCUUGCCAUCGGAUGUGCCCAGAUGGGAUUAGCUAGUAGGUGGGGUAACGGCUCACCUAGGCGACGAUCCCUAGCUGGUCUGAGAGGAUGACCAGCCACACUGGAACUGAGACACGGUCCAGACUCCUACGGGAGGCAGCAGUGGGGAAUAUUGCACAAAGGGCGCAAGCCUGAUGCAGCCAUGCCGCGUGUAUGAAGAAGGCCUUCGGGUUGUAAAGUACUUUCAGCGGGGAGGAAGGGAGUAAAGUUAAUACCUUUGCUCAUUGAUGUUACCCGCAGAAGAAGCACCGGCUAACUCCGUG
rnacentral:rRNA from 1 species